rnacentral:rRNA from 1 species
GAUGAACGCUGGCGGCGUGCCUAAUACAUGCAAGUCGAGCGAACAGACGAGAGUGCUUGCACUCUCUGACGUUAGCGGCGGACGGGUGAGUAACACGUGGGUAACCUACCUAUAAGACUGGGAUAACUUCGGGAAACCGGAGCUCAUACCGGAUAAUAUUUAGCUUCGCAUGAAGCAAUAGUGAAAGACGGUUCUGCUGUCACUUAUAGAUGGACCCGCGGUGUAUUAGCUAGUUGGUGAGGUAACGGCUCACCAAGGCAACGAUACAUAGCCGACCUGAGAGGGUGAUCGGCCACACUGGGACUGAGACACGGCCCAGACUCCUACGGGAGGCAGCAGUAGGGAAUCUUCCGCAAUGGACGAAAGUCUGACGGAGCAAUGCCGCGUGAGUGAAGAAGGUGUUCGGAUCGUAAAACUCUGUUGUAAGGGAAGAACAAGUACGUUAGUAACUGAACGUACCUUGACAGUACCUUACCAGAAAGCCACGGCUAACUACGUG